UACAGAGGGCUCAAGCGUUGUUCGGAUUCAUUGGGCGUAAAGGGUGUGUAGGUGGCGCCGUAAGUCGGGUGUGAAAUUUCGGAGCUUAACUCCGAAGCUGCAUUCGAUACUGCGGUGCUUGAGGACUGUAGAGGAGACUGGAAUUCAUGGUGUAGCAGUGAAAUGCGUAGAGAUCAUGAGGAAGACCAGUGGCGAAGGCGGGUCUCUGGACAGUUCCUGACACUGAGACACGAAGGCCAGGGGAGCAAACGGG
rnacentral:rRNA from 1 species